AGGCUGUUCUUCUUUCUCAGUAAAGAGAGACGCACAGACGAUCAGACGGAGUUCAGACCAAACUAGCAGCUUCCUCUGAGUGAGUCCAGCUACAGGAGAGAAAAGUGGAAAACUCCAACACUGCUGCUUCAAGCUGCUGACGCUCCACACACUGAAUCUUCACUCACAGACUCAAUGGCUUCCAGAUCAGAGGAGGAUCUCUGCUGUCCGGUCUGUCAGGAGGUCUUCAGAGAUCCUGUUCUUCUGUCAUGUAGCCACAGCUUCUGUAAAGACUGUCUGAAGAGAUGGUGGA